AGCUUUGCACAGUGGCAGUAUUGAAGCCAAUGAGGUUUAUCUGAGGCUCAAUUAUUGCUAAUUGAAUUAAAAAAAAAAAUAAAC
rnacentral:snRNA from 12 species